rnacentral:rRNA from 1 species
UACAGAGGGGGCAAGCGUUAUUCGGAAUUAUUGGGCGUAAAGGGCGCGUAGGCGGCCAUUCAAGUGACGGGUGAAAGCCCUCGGCUUAACCGAGGAACUGCCUGUCAGACUGGAUGGCUUGAGACCGGGAGAGGUGAGUGGAAUUCCCAGUGUAGCGGUGAAAUGCGUAGAUAUCGGGAAGAACACCCGUGGCGAAGGCGGCUCUCUGGGACGGUACUGACGCUGAGACGCGAAAGCGUGGGGAGCGAACAGG